GAUGAACGCUAGCUACAGGCUUAACACAUGCAAGUCGAGGGGAAACGACAUCGAAAGCUUGCUUUUGAUGGGCGUCGACCGGCGCACGGGUGAGUAACGCGUAUCCAACCUGCCCAUCACUUGGGAAUAACCUUGCGAAAGUAAGACUAAUACCCAAUGACAUCCCACGAAGACAUCUGAAUGGGAUUAAAGAUUUAUCGGUGAUGGAUGGGGAUGCGUCUGAUUAGCUUGUUGGCGGGGUAACGGCCCACCAAGGCAACGAUCAGUAGGGGUUCUGAGAGGAAGGUCCCCCACGUUGGAACUGAGACACGGUCCAAACUCCUACGGGAGGCAGCAGUGAGGAAUAUUGGUCAAUGGGCGAGAGCCUGAACCAGCCAAGUAGCGUGCAGGAUGACGGCCCUAUGGGUUAUAAACUGCUUUUAUAAGGGAAUAAAGUGGGUCUCGUGAGACUUUUUGCAUGUACCUUAUGAAUAAGGACCGGCUAAUUCCGUG
rnacentral:rRNA from 1 species